GACGAACGCUGGCGUCGUGCUUAACACAUGCAAUUCUAGCGGUAAGGCCUCUUCGGGGGUACACUAGCGGCGAACGGGUGCGUAACACGUGUGUGACCUGCCCUCAGCUCUGGGAUAAUCCUUGGCAACUGGGUCUAAUACCGUAUAUGACCUUUCCUCGCAUGCGGUUUGGUGGAAAGUUUUUUCGGCUGGGGAUGGGCCCGCGGCCUAUCAGCUUGUUGGUGGGGUGAUGGCCUACCAAGGAGCCGACGGGUAGCCGGCCUGAGAGGGCGACCGGCCACACUGGGACUGAGACACGGCCCAGACUCCUACGGGAGGCAGCAGUGGGGAAUAUUGCGCAAUGGGCGGAAGCCUGACGCAGCGACGCCGCGUGGGGGAUGACGGCCUUCGGGUUGUAAACCUCUUUCGACCCCGACGAAUUUGGACGGUAGGGGUAGAAGAAGCACCGGCCAACUACGUG
rnacentral:rRNA from 1 species